rnacentral:lncRNA from 1 species
UCGCCUUUCUCUGCGCUCCCCUCCCCCAGCCACCGCACACACGCGCGCGCGCGCACACACACACACACUCACACACACUCACACACACAAACAGAGCGAGGGGGGGAGGGUGAGAAAGAGAGAGAGAGAGAGGGAGAGAGAGACUCCCGGCUCCCUCCCUCCCUCCCUCGCACACAGCGACUGGAGACGGACCGGGAGCAACGCGCUGGGAAGAGCAGAGACCACCGACAACAGCCCCGCGCUCUCCCACACACGCUCACACUCGGCGCUUUCCUCUCCACCCCCACCUCCUCCUCCUUCCACCCCCUCCACUAACACCAUCUCCUCCUCCUCCUCCUCCUCUCUGCAACAAGAAAAAAAAAAGCCAUUUACAGUUGUAACAGUUGGAGGAUAAUGCAAAGGAAGACGCUGCCUGGGAAUUCACCGUCUGUGGACAUGCGCCCCAGAGAGGACUAAAGCAGCCCUCACCUUGCUCUCCCCACCCGGAUUCCCCUUUCCUGCCCGGCCCAGCCGGUACCCCGACCCCACCAUCACCCGCUUCCCUCCCCCCCACCUCACCCCCUUUCCCACCCAGGUGUCGGACCAGGCGGUCCCCACUUCCACCCUGCACC